rnacentral:lncRNA from 1 species
GAGCCCUUUUGUGGCUGAUCCACGUAUUUUGAUUGUUUUUCCUUUUGUUUUGUUUUUUCUUUCUUCCUGCUGCAUUGCGUGGUACUGAAAGGAUCUUGAGAGGUGGUGUCCUGGCCAGUCAUCCAUCCAACUUUAAAAAAAUUAUCGGAACCAAUCCUGGCUCGUAAGAACUGGCGUCCUAACUUCAUGCAGGGCAGGAUUCUGUUAAUGUGGCGUAAAUUUUGGAUAUUUUUAUGGGCUCAAACUAUGAUCCGAUUCAAAAAGUCCGCAUUGCGAUCUGAAUGAAAUUUUUGGAAAAUCAAAUUGCGGUUA